rnacentral:rRNA from 1 species
AUACAUGCAAGUCGAACGAACUUCCGUUAAUUGAUUAUGACGUACUUGUACUGAUUGAGAUUUUAACACGAAGUGAGUGGCGAACGGGUGAGUAACACGUGGGUAACCUGCCCAGAAGUAGGGGAUAACACCUGGAAACAGAUGCUAAUACCGUAUAACAGAGAAAACCGCAUGGUUUUCUUUUAAAAGAUGGCUCUGCUAUCACUUCUGGAUGGACCCGCGGCGUAUUAGCUAGUUGGUGAGGUAAAGGCUCACCAAGGCAGUGAUACGUAGCCGACCUGAGAGGGUAAUCGGCCACAUUGGGACUGAGACACGGCCCAGACUCCUACGGGAGGCAGCAGUAGGGAAUCUUCCACAAUGGACGCAAGUCUGAUGGAGCAACGCCGCGUGAGUGAAGAAGGGUUUCGGCUCGUAAAGCUCUGUUGUUAAAGAAGAACGUGGGUAAGAGUAACUGUUUACCCAGUGACGGUAUUUAACCAGAAAGCCACGGCUAACUACGUGCCAGCAGCCGCGGUAAUACGUAGGUGGCAAGCGUUAUCCGGAUUUAUUGGGCGUAAAGCGAGCGCAGGCGGUCUUUUAAGUCUAAUGUGAAAGCCUUCGGCUCAACCGAAGAAGUGCAUUGGAAACUGGGAGACUUGAGUGCAGAAGAGGACAGUGGAACUCCAUGUGUAGCGGUGAAAUGCGUAGAUAUAUGGAAGAACACCAGUGGCGAAGGCGGCUGUCUGGUCUGCAACUGAC